ACAGGUGUGGGUAUUGAGGUGAUGAUUGAAAUGCAGGCAUCAGAGGUGGGUGAAAGUAAUGAAAAGCAAGCAUUAUUGCAAGCGCUCGAGAAAAAGCAGUCCAGGAAAGAAAACGGGACUUUAGUGAAACUGACAAAGACGAGAGAUUUUGCACAUCGGGCUGAUUGGACACAGGUGAAAAAAGUGAACAGGUGAAACUAACGAGGAUGGUGGAGAUCAUUACAAAGGAGGGAAAAGAAAAACAGACAUCAGGUAUCAUUGUCCUCCAGAAUCCUUUGGUAUACAGAGCAGUUCACAGACAACUCUGUGAUCGCAAGGUGCCCAGACCAUGUGUCAAAACAAGCGCAAAUCAUCACUCCUCCAUCACUGACAGUACUGGCCGUACUGCCACUCUACACAGAGAGUAGAGAGAGGAGUCCUUCUCCUAGCAACCCUUACAAGCCAUACAUGUUCAGUGUGUUUCCAAUUUUACUGUCAUGAACGUUAACAUUUAACAUGCUAACCGAGACCUGUAGAGUCUGAGAUGUAGCCUUUUUGCAGUUUCUCUGACCUUGGGGUGAAUUUGCUGGGACAUCCACUCCUGGGAGGAUUGUGGCAUUUUGUUAACAUACCCCUGAAUGCUCCAGACCAGCAAACUGCUGAAACAUCUGCUUUUUUAGAGGUGCUCACACUUGCUGAAGAUCAAUUAAUCAAGAGCAGUUGAUUAGCAGCACCUGGCUGAUGCUUAAUUCCUAAUUUAUUUUUCACAUAACUGUACUUGUGGAUGCUGGGACUCGAUUCAUUCAUGAUGUGGAGGUCAUUUUCAGUCUCAGUGGAGGCACAUAGUCUUGCACAGCUCUUGUUAAGCAACAACUCCUACAUCAUGUUCAAAUUAACCUACAUAUAAACACUGCUAGUGAAGCAAUCUGCAGUGGGCCUUUUUUUCUCUCUCUCUUUUUUUUGUUUUUACUUUGGCCAGCUGUCGCUGUACUUUUUAAAAACUUUAUCUCUGUAGAAUAAACCCAGUGUAUAAGUUCCCCAACCUAUAAAACCUCCAGGUAAUUUUUUCUCUUGUUUGCAUGAUCUGUUUGAGCUCUUGGUAUCGUGCAUGCUUGCGCUGCAUGCUUUUACACUUGGUUGGACCGUAAAAAGGAUCACACUUUUCACCACCUUGCUUCAUAUGGUGCAGUUACGUGCUUUACAAAAUCAAAGGUCA